rnacentral:rRNA from 1 species
GACGAACGCUGGCGGCGUGCUUAACACAUGCAAGUCGAACGAGGGGCGGACGGGUGAGAAAUGUCUGGGACACUGCCCUAUGGAGGGGUAAAACUUCUGAAAACGGUAUCUAAUACCGCAUACCAUCGGAUGUGCCCAGAUGGGAUUAGCUAGUAGGUGGGGUAACGGCGCACCUGGGCGACGACCCCUAGCUGGUCUGAGAGGAUGACCAGCCACACUGGAACUGAGACACGGUCCAGACUCCUACGGGAGGCAGCAGUGGGGAAUAUUGCACAAUGGGCGAAAGCCUGAUGCAGCCAUGCCGCGUGUAUGAAGAAGGCCUUCGGGUUGUAAAGUACUUUCAGCGAGGAGGCGUUACUCGCAGAAGAAGCAUCGGCUAACUCCGUGCCAGCCGCCGCGGUAAUAC